rnacentral:rRNA from 1 species
UACGUAGGGUGCAAGCGUUGUCCGGAAUUAUUGGGCGUAAAGGGCGCGUAGGCGGCCUGCUAAGUCGAACGUGAAAUCCCCGGGCUCAACCCGGGAACUGCGUCCGAUACUGGUUGGCUUGAAUUCGGGAGAGGGAUGCGGAAUUCCAGGUGUAGCGGUGAAAUGCGUAGAUAUCUGGAGGAACACCGGUGGCGAAGGCGGCAUCCUGGACCGGCAUUGACGCUGAGGCGCGAAAGCCAGGGGAGCAAACGGG